AAUCACACCUAGGAUAGGGAGUGCGGUCUCACCACACUCUCAGCUCCUUUCACUUGGCUGCACCACUCAGGACCAACCCUGCUCACAGUGUUCCUGGGUGUCUCCGGUGUUAUUGUGAUUGCAGGUUGCUCAUCAACACAAGUGUUCAAUGUACUUACUCACCUCUCAACCCAUCACUCAAAUAACCCACAGCCUAGCACACCUAGCACACAGUAGGCUCUGGAAGCAAUGAACCCAGGAGAGAGAAGGACCAGCGAGCUCCAAGUGGAUGAGAGGUCUGAGCUGCAUCUGAAGAAAUACAAGAUAAGGACAUAAAGAACACCCUUCCCCAGCCAGGCUUCUGCACUUGGAAAACUGUGCAAGGUGUGCACAUGAGAGAAGAGCACUCAGAACCCAGGAAACCCUCCAACUUGGACACCCAGAUUAGGACAGAAAAGGAUCCCCAGAAGAGGGCAGCUGGCCUAAGGGUCUAGGUAUCUAGUAUCAACAACCUAGGGGAUGGGACAGUGCUACCUUUACCUCUCUGACUCCACCUGGCUCAGCAAGAUGUGAUGCCCACUGCAUGUUAGUUCCUGUGUAAAAGGGCCACCCUCUCAGGACAAGUGCAGACACAGAGGCGAUAAGAAAUCAAAGUUUGGAGAAAUAGGUCCCUGGAUGUACUACAUCAGACUCAAGCCUGCAGCUGCGGACUGGGAGUGCACUCUAGAUGCUGCUACGUCCUUGAAGCUGAUCAUCCAGAAGAAAAAAAAGCACCAUAGAAGCUUGAGGAUCAGAAGGACAACAGCCCUGCUCCAGUCACUCCAGAAGCUGACUGGUCUACGCAUGGCCGAAGCUUGAGGAGACUACAGCCUUGUUUCAGCUAUACUGGAGAGACUUGCAGAUCAAUCCUCUGUGAAAGAUAAACUUCCCACCAGGACUAAUGAACUAUUUCAACCUCUAAUAUACUUCUUAUAAUAUAAUGCAUCACAACCCCUUGCUUUUAGAUAUAUACCUAAUUCUUUGUUUGGUUUUUGCUACUGGUGGGAUAACAAAUAAAAAAUUUCAUUUAUCCUUUUUUUUCUUGCUUAGAUAAAUUUUCUAGGAUUUGUUUGGUGUUACUAGUUUGGCUUUGUUAAUUAAUGAUGCUGAACCUAUCCUAACUAAAAUUUUAGACUAUUAUUUAGUUUGGUUUCCUUUGAUAACCUUAAGGAAUUCUGUCCUACUCCUAUUUCAACCAUGGAGAUCAUGUGAACCAUAUGUCACGACAAUCCACUAUAACUAAGAGGUGGUAAAACAUAUAUUUAGGUCCUGUCCUGCCAGAGGAAUGCUAUAGAUGGAUGACUGUUUGGAAAGACAAAAGAGGUUCACUGGAAAGAAACUUUAUUUAGGAGGUCACCAAUCUUGGGGUGAAGAUAACUGGCCAACCCAGAGGAUUAUUGUCACUUAUUGUUCCACUACCUGGGCACAAAAUGGCAGUUGGAGUUAUACAACCCCUAUUUACAUGUUAAGCAGAAUUAUUCACUAACAAUCUGUACUAGAAAUUAUUAUUAAUCAGACUGCCAGAGCCUUUGACCUCCUAGCCACACAAUAAACCAGAUGCCAGUGGCUAAAUAUCCAAACUACUUGGCAUUAGAUUACCUAAUGGCUGAGGAAAGAUAAAUAUGUGGAGAGUUCAACAGCUCAGUUUGUUGCAUCCAAAUGGAUGACAAUAGACAAACAGUUAAGAAUAUAGCCAACAAGACAUAAGAACUAGUACAUGUGCUAGUUCAUACCUAGAAGGGCAUUAAAGUUUGGGUCCCAAACAUGCUUUUGAGAGAUGGCUGUCAAC